rnacentral:lncRNA from 1 species
UGACCACCUUGUUUCUGCCAUAUGUUUUAUCUCUGUUAAUACAGCUCAUCACUUACACCAGCAAAUAUAAUAAUCUAAACAUUUUUAACUGCAUCAAACAUUACAAAUUUGAAAGAAAGUGGUGGAAUUUGGGGUGAAUUAAAGAGGCCCAAAAAUGUACUGAGGUAGAUGCCAGAAGUAAUAUUUUGCCUGUGCUCCUUAGGUAGAAUUCAGAAAGGCUGUUACCACAAGGUGUGACAUAAGCGGUGUGUCCCAAUGGGGAUGGUGUCAGCUGUUUAUUAUUGCCCUUCCAAUUUCUGCUAAUGAAAUUGACCUGCUAUUAAAGUCAGGCUGAGUAGGGUAGAAAUUUAGUUAUACCAACAGCAAGGUUCAAUCUGAUGAAGUUAAUAGAAUUUCUUCCUGCAGAUUUUUCAGAACACAGCAUCCCAGGUUCUUUCUGCACAGUGGUUUGGGAAAAAGCAUUAGAGCAAAAUACUCUAGUUUCUCUAAAGUUUCUAGGGAAAUGCCUUCUCCCAACAAUGUUAAGAAUUCCAAAAUAGACUUGCUUAAAUUCCUUAUAGGAAAAAAAGAGUGUUCGUGGUGCUUAACAAAGAAUGUUCGUCUGCUCUUAGAGCAAAUUAUGGCUUCAUUCUGUAUCAAAUUUGAAUUUCAAGCUUUUUCAGUGAAGCGCUGUUCAAGUGAUAACACACAGCACUGUGUAAGGAAGAUUGUAAAGAAAAUCAAAUCACAUGCCUCAGGGAUUCAGACACUGGCCUCCAUGGGUAUCAGAAAGACUCGCCACCUGUAGACAAGGACAUUCACCAGGUGGGGAAAACAGCUGUGGAUUGAUGCCUGUGAAUGAAGUCUUCAGUUUGCAUGAUGCUCUGCUGUUACAACAGUUGCCCAAAAGUCAUGCUACAAGUUGGAGAGAGAGCCAUAUAAAUCUUUGCUAUUUUUAGUGUUUGUUUUGAAAAAUGCUAAAAGUUUUGCAUACACGUAGGAAGUUAGAUGCAUGGCUGCUACUGGACUUAGGUGGGGGAAAAAAAACAUUUUACAUCAAAAACAAACUCUUAUGCAAAACUGGCUCUUUCUGAAAGCAUUAAAUGUUGUGUGUGGGGGGGAAUAAAGGGAGAAGAUAUUGUUGAGUAUGUUAUUUA